AAUCAAUAGAGAAGAGCAGAACACUGGUAGAUUUAUGGCUUUGAUUUUGAAAAGGCAUGGGAAUGCCCUGUGAUGUUUCCCCCGUAUUCCUUUUGAAUGUUAAUGCUUUCUUGAAGAUGAUUUCAGACGCACUGCUAGGAUACUGCCUCUACUCAGUGAAGCAGAAUCCUCUGAAGAGUUGCUGAGGCAGAACUGAAAGCAUGGCUCUCCUCAAAGACACAGCCUUACUGGCCGUUAAUGCCUCACACAGAAAGACGAUGCUCCGUUAACUCAGAGUUUUAAUGGGAAGGUUCUAAGCCCGAAAACAACGGCUUUAGUUUGGGGUGUGCCAUCCAGCUUCUUGCAGCUACCACUGUCUUCUUUCACAAAGCUUGGUCCAGAAGAAUGGAAACUAAAGAGGCUUGUAACUACCUGUAACUGUUUCGUCAGGAAAUGGAUCAAGCGUUUUUUUCAGCCAGAUCCAGGAUCCACAACAACUCAACAACUCAUAAUGAUAGCACUGACUGUCCCCGGGUCAUGAGCAGUGUGCAGCACCGGCCUUUUAAGGUACCUGCUUGCAGUCUUUUUCAUUAUGACACACACUAGGAAAGAGAAACACAGCUGGGUAAACAGUAAGAUUUAUUGUUCGAAGUGAAAAGUUCCAGUUUGCUAAUGGGGCCUUUUGAUACUCCUGGUUCCUGACUGGGCACCCUUGUGGUCGUUUUCUGAUGUUCUGAGCUGGGCUACAGCCUCUCUCUGCAGUCCCUUUAAAACUCCUCAAGCAGGUAUUAGAAGGAAGAUGAAGAUAGAAAGAAGGGAAGCUGAGAUUGGAGCUCAGGCUAAAGAGAAAGGUCACCUGCUGACCCAGAGCUGACAAGCAGCAGUAAACUGGGUCCACUCCCAAACAGAGGCAGCCGUGUCUGCAGGUUGACUUUGCAGGGAGAGGAACAGCACACAGAGCUCCAAGUGCAGCAGUGGGGGAGGCAGCUGUUCAGGAGCUGCCUGUUGACAUUUGUAGCUGACCACCUUCACAC
rnacentral:lncRNA from 1 species